UUUUCUUUCCAACGCGUUACUUAUGUAAUAGUUCAAGUUUCUUUGUUAUAAGACGUCUAAUUAAGUUUGAAGCUAGGAUACUUUCUAUUUUCACUUAAGUUAUACUGUGGGUGAUUUGCACUUGGUAACAGCAACCAGAUCGAGACCAUUGUUCUGAUUUCUGGAUGAUGUUGGUGACGUCAUUAAUUCCUCUAACAAUGGUUCUGUUAAGUGUGGUGUUCAGUUUUACUACAAUAGAACAAAUGUGUUGCAAGGAGGAUCUCCAGUCGGUAAUAUCACCGCAAUCAGAUCACUUUUGUUCAGUAGGAGUUAAAGUUAGAAGUUUGAGCGAGGGAUGGAUGACGUUAGCAGAAGCAAGAACAGAGGAACUGGCAGUGCAGUUAGGAGCCUUCAGAUUAACUAG